AUUGAACGCUGGCGGCAGGCCUAACACAUGCAAGUCGAACGAGUGGCGGACGGGUGAGUAAUGUCUGGGAAACUGACUGAUGGAGGGGGAUAACUACUGGAAACGGUAGCUAAUACCGCAUACCAUCGGAUGUGCCCAUAUGGGAUUAGCUUGUAGGUGGGGUAAAUGCUCACCUAGGCGACGAUCCCUAGCUGGUCUGAGAGGAUGACCAGCCAAACUGGAACAGAGACACGGGCCAGAAUCCUACGGGAGGCAGCAGUGGGGAAUAUUGCACAAUGGGCGAAAGCCUGAUGCAGCCAUGCCGCGUGGAUGAAGAAGGCCUUCGGGUUGUAAAGGACUUUCAGCGGGGAGGCGUUACCCGCAGAAGAAGCUCCGGCUAACUCCGUGCCAGCAGCCGCGGUAAUUC
rnacentral:rRNA from 1 species